rnacentral:rRNA from 1 species
UGGGAACGCGAAGAACCUUACCUACUCUUGACAUCCAGAGAACUUAGCAGAGAUGCUUUGGUGCCUUCGGGAACUCUGAGACAGGUGCUGCAUGGCUGUCGUCAGCUCGUGUUGUGAAAUGUUGGGUUAAGUCCCGCAACGAGCGCAACCCUUAUCCUUUGUUGCCAGCGGUUAGGCCGGGAACUCAAAGGAGACUGCCAGUGAUAAACUGGAGGAAGGUGGGGAUGACGUCAAGUCAUCAUGGCCCUUACGAGUAGGGCUACACACGUGCUACAAUGGCAUAUACAAAGAGAAGCGACCUCGCGAGAGCAAGCGGACCUCAUAAAGUAUGUCGUAGUCCGGAUUGGAGUCUGCAACUCGACUCCAUGAAGUCGGAAUCGCUAGUAAUCGUGGAUCAGAAUGCCACGGUGAAUACGUUCCCGGGUCUUGUACACACCG